rnacentral:rRNA from 1 species
AACGAACGCUGGCGGCAUGCCUAACACAUGCAAGUCGAACGAGAACUUCGGGCCUAGUGGCGCACGGGUGCGUACCGCGUGGGAACCUGCCCUUAGGUUCGGAAUAACUCCCCGAAAGGGGUCCUAAUACCGGAUAAUGUCUUCGGACCAAAGAUUUAUCGCCUGUGGAUGGGGCCGUGUUGGAUUGGCCAGUUGGUAGGGUAAAAGCCUGUCAAGGCGACGAUCCAUAGCUGGUCGGAGAGGAUGACCAGCCACACUGGGGCUAAGGCACGGGCCAGACUGCGACGCAGGGGAGCAGUAUGGAAUAUUGUACGAGGAGGGAAAGCCUGAUCCAGCAAUGCCGGGUGAGUGAGGAAGGGCGUAGGGUUGUAAAUCUCUUUUACCCGGGAUGAUAAUGACAGUACCGGGAGAAUAAGCACCGGCUAACUCCGUG